CGUAUCCGAGCCGAGGACUCCCGUGGUUGCCAGGGCUGGAGCUGGGUUACAGGCUGACGAGGAGAGUCUCACCUUCCGCCGGGGGGUUGCCUAGUGAGGCGGCGGCGAGCGGUUCUUCGCCUGCUGCACCUGAAUCUGUGCGUACCUCGCACUUUGUGUAGUGCAGUGAGCGGCGUCAGACGCGGGUUAGCGGGAAACUACGCCUGGCCGAUGAAUUCCUCCCACCCCGCAGCAAGGCUCCGCUCCUGUGCAGCCGCUGUCUUUUCUAAAGGUCAAAGUACUCAGCAAGUAUAAGAGGAAUGUGCAAAAAGGGCAAUUUAACACCUCGCUGGAGUCAGCCACUUGACUUCUGAACAUGAACUCAGGUUUUCAUGUGACUCUUUACUGUGCUUUAUGACUUCAGAAGAGACACACAGUCCUUCCACACAGACCUUCCACACAGACAACUUUAAGUCAUGUUGUCUCCUUUAUUGAUAUCAAAGAUAAAAAGGAGCAACAUGCAUUCAGAAGAAUCAUACAAAGGUUCUUAUCCAGCAGAGAGACUGAUGGUCUGUCUGCUUUCAGGUUGAAACUGAUGCCAGGGAAAGGAAGUCAGUGUAGAAGCAGGCCUGAGUAGGGCUGAGAUGACCUAUAACAGUUGCAAUGAAGAGCCUACCACUGCAGAAAAGUCAGUGGUGCUUGCUUUUCAUUUUUUAAAGUUAUACUUGUUCACUGCUCCAUGAUAAUCACGCAUUAUUAAAAUGUCAGUGGGAAAUGUCUUCUUAAAUGAAUUCAUGUUAAUAACUAGUCAUAAUAUUCUGAAAGACACUAAUUCAUUCCCAUAUAAUCUCUGCUGCACUUUGUUUGGCACACACAGGUUACCUCUAAAAAACUGCUUUACAAUAGAGGCUCGUGCUCUUGGUGUGGCUAAAGUCAGACUUUCCCCCCUUAAAUCACCUCAUAAGCAAGUACUGGAAAACAACAGACUACGUUGUCCUGUGCUGCCAGCUCAUCCACAGCAGAAAACGGUAGAGACACCAGCAAUGCCUGCUUUCAGAUUCAGCAAAGUGGAUGAACAAUGCUAACCUGAACAUAGGAAAGCACAUCUUCUUAAGCUCUACUUUGAUCUGCUUGAGUGAAAUCUCAAAAUGUUGCUGCCUCUAAAACUAAGGAAUAAUUUAUUGCACAUAAUUACACCAGUUUAGCAAGUUCUGUACAGGCAGCAUCUUGGGAAAGGAUAAUAUUCAUGACAUCAAAGAGCUGCUCAAUGCGCUGGUCCUGCCGGAGAUCUUCACCACCUUUGACAAGAAAGGGAUGUUCCCGCUCGUCACUGCCGCGGAU